rnacentral:rRNA from 1 species
UACGGGGGGGGCAAGCGUUGUUCGGAAUUACUGGGCGUAAAGGGCGCGUAGGCGGCGUGGUAAGUCACUUGUGAAAUCUCUGAGCUUAACUCAGAACGGCCAAGUGAUACUGCUGUGCUAGAGUGCAGAAGGGGCAAUCGGAAUUCUUGGUGUAGCGGUGAAAUGCGUAGAUAUCAAGAGGAACACCUGAGGUGAAGACGGGUUGCUGGGCUGACACUGACGCUGAGGCGCGAAAGCCAGGGGAGCAAACGGG